GUCUAUUGUGAUCUAUUCAAACGGUUUAUUAUUAUGAUAAGACUUUCACACAAACCUUAAUACUUGUAGUUAACUUUUUUUACUUUGCACCCGUCGAUAUGAGAAAAUUAAUGACGUCAUCGCCGUAUACCAAUGUUUAGAUACAACCUUGUACAAUAGUUCAGUCGGUUCUGAGAGAGGCCAGGCCUAAAUUGAAUUACAACUGCAUCUUCAAUGAUGCCGCAUUCGUUACACAACAGUGGCAAUAGAUGGCAGCACAAGCCAUAUUUACACCUUCGAUACUACGCAACUUAAAUUAUAUAAGUUUCAUUUUUUAAGGCAAAAACUAAUCGAAUGUCUCAAUAUUAUGUUUUUUUUGUACUAAAACCGAAUUUAUUUUUGUAAUGUCGUUUUUAAUCGACUUCAAAAAAGGAGGAAGUUCUCAAUUUGACUGUAUUUUUUUUUGUGUUUAAUUUUGAUGAUUCUUUUUUUAAUCGAAACGUAUCCUUGUCGCGUGGUCCCAUUUAAAUUUGAUCAAGAUCUAACAAGUAGUUUUUGAGUUAUCGCUAAUAAUGGGUAUUUACUUGACUAUUUUUUCAACUACCCUCAUUGUAUUUACUUGUCGAUGUUAGGUCGGUUUUUUUCGUUUGCAAGCAAACAAUUAAUUUUUUUAUAAGUUCUCUGUGUAUAAACGAUAAAUCAAGUUCAGUAAUCAAAAAUUGUAUUGAAGGUGUCGAUGGGCUAAAUUAAUGUAAUUUAAAAACAUGUUUGUUACGAAGAAUAUGGGUAAUAAAGUUGAUAUAAGUUUA
rnacentral:misc_RNA from 1 species